GACGAACGCUGGCGGCGUGCCUAAUACAUGCAAGUCGAGCGGACAGAAGGGAGCUUGCUCCCGGGAGUUAGCGGCGGACGGGUGAGUAACACGUGGGCAACCUACCCUAUAGAUCGGGAUAACAUCGAGAAAUCGGUGCUAAUACCGGAUAAUCAUUUGAAGUGCAUGCUUCGAAUGUAAAAGAUGGCUCCGGCUAUCACUACGGGAUGGGCCCGCGGCGCAUUAGCUAGUUGGUAAGGUAAUGGCUUACCAAGGCAACGAUGCGUAGCCGACCUGAGAGGGUGAUCGGCCACACUGGGACUGAGACACGGCCCAGACUCCUACGGGAGGCAGCAGUAGGGAAUCUUCCGCAAUGGACGAAAGUCUGACGGAGCAACGCCGCGUGAGUGAUGAAGGUUUUCGGAUCGUAAAGCUCUGUUGUUAGGGAAGAACAAGUGCCGUUUGAAUAAGGCGGCACCUUGACGGUACCUAACCAGAAAGCCACGGCUAACUACAUGCCAGCCGCCGCCGUAACAC
rnacentral:rRNA from 1 species